UUUAAAUACAUUAUUUAAGAAGAGACAAGGAAAAACAGAUGAAGGGAUGAUUUGUGUGACAUUUCAGGGUGGCAGAAAAGGCAACAAGGAGAGCUGGAAUUGACCUGACUCCUUGUGGGAAAUACUUCAGUGAUGGAUGGAAGCCUAGGGGAGAGAGGACCACAAUGAAGGCAGGAGGUAAAAGAGGGCUGAAAUGUUUGGUUCUGAGGAUUUGUGAUUGUCAUUCACUCACACGGACUGAACUCUCACUUGCCUGUCUUCCUGGGGCUUGUGUAAGAACAUCCUGCAGAAAAAUUUCUGCCAAUGAGAUAUAGAGACAAGUCUACUGAGACUGGCUUCCUUUCACCAACAGAAAGACAAAGCCCUUCAAGGAGAAGUCUUUAGGCCUAAUUGCCUCAUUUUUUCCUGGAACAUGGGUGUGAUUUCUAAAGGUACACCAGCCACUGCAGGGCUCUGUUCAUGAAGUUAUGGAUGCUCACUUGUGCAAAGUUAAGGGGCCACGUCUGUUGAGGACCUACUUGCUGGUGGGGAUCCUCUGAAGAGUACUGAGGCAGCAGAGGACAUCACAUGCAUCACUAGCAAACUUUGCAUGAAUGCAAAAGGCCUUUCAGUUACUGCAGUUGUGAAGCAGUGGCACAUAAGGGAAGUUUCCUUCCCUUUGGGGAAUCAUAAAUAAAAUAGUGGUGUAAUCAAAGGACAGAAGAAAAAAGAGACUUCAGACAGAUUUCUUCCAAGUCACCAGUGGGAGCUUCCCAGGGAGAUGCGGCUUUAUUCCCUCAUGGCAGACAGGAGGAGGAUGCUGCGCGGGAGCUGAUGCCACCUGGCAGCGAUGGUAGCACAGACUGCUGGAGAGGCACAGAUUGGAACCCAAGCCUCAUCAGACGGCAGCUGUGACAGCGGCAUAUUUCAAAAAUGUAUUGCAAAUUUCACACAAGGGGUCUUUAAAAUAAUUUGAAAAUCUCCUUGGCUUUUGCAGACUUUAAAUUCAGAGAGAACACCUCUUCUUUGAAAAUCAAAACAAUUUUUGCUUAUUUUAUGUAUCUGAAGGUAGAUAGGAACUUACAGCCAUGUUUAAAAAAUUUGCAGUUGAUUAUGCAGUUUUUGAAUUUAAUAAGCUACUAUGAAUAAUUAACUUCUUAAGAAGAAGAAAAGGGCACGUUGGCACCUCACAAUUAAAAGAAUAAGAAUGAAAU